rnacentral:rRNA from 1 species
GACGAACGCUGGCGGCGUGCCUAAUACAUGCAAGUAGAACGCUGAAGAGAGGAGCUUGCUCUUCUUGGAUGAGUUGCGAACGGGUGAGUAACGCGUAGGUAACCUGCCUUGUAGCGGGGGAUAACUAUUGGAAACGAUAGCUAAUACCGCAUAACAAUGGAUGACCCAUGUCAUUUAUUUGAAAGGGGCAAAUGCUCCACUACAAGAUGGACCUGCGUUGUAUUAGCUAGUAGGUGAGGUAACGGCUCACCUAGGCGACGAUACAUAGCCGACCUGAGAGGGUGAUCGGCCACACUGGGACUGAGACACGGCCCAGACUCCUACGGGAGGCAACAGUAGGGAAUCUUCGGCAAUGGGGGCAACCCUGACCGAGCAACGCCGCGUGAGUGAAGAAGGUUUUCGGAUCGUAAAGCUCUGUUGUAAGUCAAGAACGAGUGUGAGAGUGGAAAGUUCACACUGUGACGGUAGCUUACCAGAAAGAGACGGCUAACUACGUG